CGUUUUCAAAGGUUAACAACUAAUUCCACAUUUUAAAAUGCACUGUUUGUAGACGUGGCCUGCGGCCGGGAGCGCUCACACGAGAUUGUUGGGUGCUCCCCAGACAGAGCUCGCGACUUGUUCGACCCGCACCAAGUUGCCGAAAUAAAAAUGUGGAUUUUGUGGCCCCCGAAGAAGAGAGGUCCGGGGGAGGCGGACGAUGGAUCCGUGAAUAUGCGUCUAACUACGUUUUGAACACCAGCUACCUGUUAUGUUAGGUGCGUAGUCUGUUUUACGUGCAAUGUCUCAUUCGGGCCUGUGAAGUCGGUAUUCAAUAUACGCACGUUAAAAAUAAUCACCAUCAUCAUCCGAGAGGUUGAGUGCUUGACCAAAAGCGCCCAGUGGAAAUGGCCAAGCCAGACCUCCAGGCUCUGAAGCUACUAACCGCUCUCAGGAGACCCUCGGCCUGGGUUUCUCCAUCUAUUUUUGAAAGAAAUCUCCUUCCAAGAUCUCUAACCAGGCUGUGCGUCCCUUGAUUCUCCGCGGAGCGGGAAAGAAGAGCCCGCCUGAUUCACCGGGCCCCCUCCCCGAGUCCUGUGCGCACGCUCAGGUCGGCCAGCCGCCGGGAGCCGGGCAACGUGGGCACCGCUCUAGCCGGCAGGGCGCAGUCGCCCGCGUCUCGCUGGUGAUGACGCAUGUCCUGGGCGGUGGAGAAAGCAUGAUGGCGGCGCCCGUGGAGGUGGCCGUGUGUACCGACUCGGCGGCCCAACUGUGGAGCUGCGUCGUGUGGGAGCUGCACUCGGGCGCCAAUCUGCUCACAUACCGCGGCGGCCAGGCCGGGCCUCGCGGCCUGGCGCUGCUCAAUGGCGAGUACUUGCUGGCGGCGCAGCUGGGCAAGAACUAUAUCAGCGCCUGGGAGCUACAGAGGAAGGACCAGCUUCAGCAGAAGAUCAUGUGCCCCGGACCGGUCACCUGUCUUACCACGUCGCCCAAUGGCCUCUACGUUCUGGCAGGGAUCACAGAGAGCAUAUACCUGUGGGAGGUUUCCACGGGGAACCUUCUGGUCAUCCUGAGCCGCCACUACCAGGAUGUGUCGUGCCUACAGUUCACGGGGGACAGCAGCCACUUCGUCUCGGGGGGCAAGGACUGCCUGGUGCUGGCUUGGAGCCUCUGCAGCGUGCUGCAGGCAGACCCCUCCCGGACCCCCGCCCCCCGACACGUGUGGUCUCGCCACACCCUCCCCAUCACAGACCUGCACUGCGGCUUUGGUGGGCCCCUGGCCCGGGUGGCCACUUCCUCGCUGGACCAGACAGUGAAGCUGUGGGAGGUCUCCUCCGGCGAGCUGCUGCUGUCUGUGCUCUUCGACGUGAGCAUCAUGGCCGUGACCAUGGACCUGGCUGAGCAUCACAUGUUCUGCGGUGGUAGUGACGGCUCCAUCUUCCAGGUCGACCUCUGUACCUGGCCCGGGCAGAGAGAGAAGAGCUUCCAGCCGGAGCAGGACCACGGGAAGGUGUUCAGAGGGCACAGGAACCAGGUGACCUGCCUGUCAGUGUCCACGGAUGGCAGCGUGCUACUCUCGGGCUCCCACGACGAGACGGUGCGCCUCUGGGAUGUGCAGAGCCAGCAGUGCCUCAGGACUGUGGCUCUCAAAGGCCCUGUGACCAAUGCCUGCAUCGUGCUGGCGCCCGUCAGCAUGCUGAGCUCCGACUGCAGGCCCAGCCUGCCCUUGCCGCACUUCAACAAGCACCUGCUGGGCGCGGAGCAUGGGGACGAGCCACGCCACGGGGGCCUCACGCUGCGCCUGGGCCUCCACCAGCAGUCUGAUGGCUGGUCCCUGGCCUCAGGAAGCCCUGGAACCUUCCAGAGAGGGAGCGGGCCACGCUGCCCUUUGAGAACAACAACAGGGUGUUGUUCCAGGGGCCGAUCAGGACCCAGAGGUUGUGCACGGGCAGCCACCUUCUCCAGCUGGGCGGCGGGAGCGCUCACAGCCCCAGUGCCCAUGGGACCCCCUUCAUGACGGCCUGCCUGCCCCUCCAGGCCCCUGGGGCCCCUCCCUGCCUGUCCUCAGCGCGGCCAGCCUUGCCCAAUGAGUCCAGGCUCUGUCUGCUGUCUCUGCGCCUCGGAGUCACACGAGCCUGCGGGGCUGUCCACACCCCUCCCGGCGGCCUGAUGGAUGGCUGUGCCAGGCUCCGGGCUGCUGGCCCAGGGCAGCGUGCCCAGACAGGGUCCAGCGAGAGACGGAUGGCCUCUGGGCGGCAGCAGGGUCCAUCAUCUCACAGGGCGGCUGAGCCCUCCCAGGGCUGGAGGCACCAGCUGACCGUUUGUCUGCACGUCCCUUGAGGCUUGAUGGGAGUGGCCAGCUAAUGCGGCCCCUUCUGUUCCAGGGGUCAGAGCCCAGCUACCUGGAGCGGGCGGAACAGCUGCACGGGGUGAUGUGCAGCACGUUGGAGAAGAGCGUGCUGGGUGGCCAGGACCAGCUGCGGAUCCGCGUGGCAGAGCUGGAGGACGA